rnacentral:rRNA from 1 species
AUUGAACGCUGGCGGCAGGCUUAACACAUGCAAGUCGAGCGAGCGGCGGACGAGUGAGUAAUGUCUGGGAAACUGCCUGAUGGAGGGGGAUAACUACUGGAAACGGUAGCUAAUACCGCAUACCAUCAGAUGUGCCCAGAUGGGAUUAGCUAGUAGGUGGGGUAAUGGCUCACCUAGGCGACGAUCCCUAGCUGGUCUGAGAGGAUGACCAGCCACACUGGAACUGAGACACGGCCCAGACUCCUACGGGAGGCAGCAGUGGGGAAUAUUGCACAAUGGGCGCAAGCCGGAUGCAGCCAUGCCGCGUGUGUGAAGAAGGCCUUAGGGUUGUAAAGUACUUUCAGCGAGGAGGCGUUACUCGCAGAAGAAGCACCGGCUAACUCCGUGCCAGCAGCGGCGGUAAUAC